GGGGCUGUGUAGCAGAGCGCCCAGCUGGACGAAUCUCCCAGCCAGUUGGGGAGCCCCUCUGAGGGUCAUUCCUGCGGAUGUGGCCGUCGGGAGGACCAGCCCGUUUGCAGACCAAGCUUUUGCUUCCUCUCAUCCCUCCUGAGGAAGACCCUGGGAAAGGAAUGCUCUUCCUGCGGGCCCUUCCUCAGACACCAGGCAAACGGGUGAAGGUGCAGAGAGUGUCCAGAGCAAGCCCACGGCCCACACAGACACUGGGAUUCUGCCUGUAGCUUCAGGCCCUCACCUCCUGACACUCUAGGGGCGCCAGGACCCCAGGCUAAAAGCCCAGCUCCGAGGUCGAAUACUAGCACCCAGCACUGGAUACUCAGUGUCAGAUGAGUGAACAAGCAAAUGGCUGAUGUCUGGUUUCAAUGUUUGCCUACGAGGAGAUGUACUCCGCUCCCAGCUCUUAGCCUCACCAUGCAGUGGAAGGGAAGGAGGCUUCUGAACUGGCAGCUCUACAUUCUUCCCCUCUCUGUGCAACUUGUUUAGAUCACAGAACUGGAAGGGACCCCAAAAAUCCCAUUCUCCCACCCCUCCGAUUAGAGAGGAAGAAACAGAGGCCCAGACUCAACAGACUUGCCAAAACCCAUGGACCUGGUUGGGGGCCCACAUCUAGCACUUUCCCCAGCCUCACAGCCUGCCUUGUUUAUUUGUUCAGCAGUUUUUGUUUCGCCAUGGCACAGCUUGUUCCGACUCUGGAACAUUUAUGAGAUGAGCCAAUUUUUAAAAAUCAUAGAAAAUAAAUGGUUUGCUCUUGGAGCUGAAGGGCGGGGCAGCCAGGGUGGGAGACAGGUUCCAGGCCAGUUCUGGGGCAGAAUUUUGGCUUAUCCUUUGCUGUGUUUUUUUAUUCUCCUGCCUUGGGAACCAAAAGGAUUUCAGUGGGAUUUCCUGCCUCGAUUUCUCCAGUACUAUGAUAUGGAAAGACUAGAACAUUCAACCAUACACUUUCUGAUUCUCACCUCCACCAUCAUUAGUUCCAUUCCAAACUCUGGCUCCUACCCAUUGAGUUCAAGCUACAGCCUGAUUCAACUGAUCAACCUGGGGAUGGUGGUGUCAGGACUAGCACCUGGACCAUUCUGCCUCCUCUGCCUGCAACAUCCUCUCUAUCUGCUUGUGAACUCUUCUCCUUCAAAACCCAGCGGUUACGUCACCACUUCUAAAACCUUGAACUGAUUCCCCACGUAGUCGGCCAGCUACUUUUUAAAUUUAAAAAAGCCCAACCAGAAUAAACAGGAUAGCUAAAA
rnacentral:lncRNA from 1 species